CCCUUAGAUGUUCUGGGCCGCACACGCGCUACACUGAAGGAGGCAGCGUGUACUCCUGGAUCGAAAGAUUUGGGUAACCCGCGAAUCUCCUUCGUGCUAGGGAUUGAGGUUUGCAAUUAUCCUUCAUGAACGAGGAAUUCCCAGUAAGUGCAAGUCAUAAGCUUGCGCUGACUACGUCCCUGCCCUUUGUACACACCGCCCGUCGCUACUACCGAUUGAGUGCUCAGGUGAAUAAUUCGGACUGCAGCAGUGUUUGGAUCCCGAACGCUGCAGCGGAAAGUUUAGUGAACCUUAUCACUUAGAGGAAGGAGAAGUCGUANCA
rnacentral:rRNA from 1 species